CCGAUCCGCCCUCGGCUUUGUAGGACUACCCGCUGAACUUAAGCAUAUCAAUAAGCGGAGGAAAAGAAACCAACAGGGAUUGCUCUAGUAACGGCGAGUGAAGCACAACAGCUCAGAUUUGAAAGGCCUC
rnacentral:rRNA from 1 species